CACACACACACACACACACACAGAUAAACUUGUGAAACAUGUACAAACACUAAAACACGAAUUUUACAUUUAACACACAGGUUGUGUUUCUGUCAAUAAAAAAAAUGCUUGUGUGUGUUUGUGUGUCCUGAUGGUGCCAUUUCUCAGUCCCCCACUCACUCACACACACACACACACACACACACACUUAACACACUUUUGUAACUGUACACCUGAUGUUGCCGUGGUAACUGACACAGUGGUCAUGUGUUGCUGAAUAAUUCAAAUACACACAGCGCCGGACACAACAAAUUUUCUCUUCAGAAAUGGAGGACAGUGUGUUGUUGGUGUGUGAAGCGCUCGGUGUGUGUGAGGUGGAUGAGGUCACCGCUGAGGAUGUGUGUGUUUUCUACCAAAGAGUAUUUCUACGGCAGACCAACACAGAGCUCAUCAAGAAGAUCAUCUCCUGGGUUACUGGUCGGGAUGGGGGCGUGUCCUGCAGUGCUGGAAAGGUUGCUGAGGUUCUUCUGGAGCUGGAGAGAGAGAAGGAGGCUAUGGAGGAGCUGUACUGGGAUAUCCAGAUGUUACAGUCAGGAGAGGCUGUAUGUAAAAUAUCCAGAACGCCCUGCUGUAUCAUCAGUCAGAACGGAGUGUGUGUGUGUGAACAGAAACUUCAACUCAUAUCCAGAAGACUCAACAACAGGAUGAGAGGAGAAAAUUGUGGACAUCUCCGCCAAGCGUCAGAGAGCCGUCCCUGCUCCUGCAGCAUAAAUAUGACAUCAUCAGAGAGCGGCUGUAUGCGGAGAUGCUGCAGCAUGAGUAUGGAGGGCUGUGGUGGGAGAACUUGUCGUCAUGGCAACAGCAGGAGCAUAUGUGUGAGGUGGCAGCAUGGGUGGAGCGGGCGGUGCAGCAAGGGAAUCUUUUGAGUUUGUGUGACCUGCCAGGGGCUCUACGGUGCUACAGGACCUCUGAUCGUGUGACCUCAGCUGUGUGUCCUGAGGAGAAUGGGCAGGCGUGGACGGCCAUGGUGUUCCUGACUGAACUGGAUUCUCUUCAGCAGCAGGAGAAGACAUCGCUGAGCGCACUGAUCAACAGGUCCAGCGUCCGAAGCAACAGAUUUGGGAUUUUAUUUUUU
rnacentral:lncRNA from 1 species